rnacentral:rRNA from 1 species
CCUACGGGUGGCUGCAGUGGGGAAUAUUGCGCAAUGGGCGAAAGCCUGACGCAGCGACGCCGCGUGAGGGAUGAAGGUCUUCUGAUCGUAAACCUCUGUUAGCAGGGAAGAACGGUCACUGUGCUAAUCAGCAGUGAAUUGACGGUACCUGCAAAGGAAGCACCGGCUAACUCCGUGCCAGCAGCCGCGGUUAUACGUAGGGUGCGAGCGUUAAUCGGAAUUACUGGGCGUAAAGCGUCCGUAGGCGGUAUGUUAAGUCAAGGGUGAAAUCCCCGGGCUCAACGGGGGAACUGCCUUUGAAACUGGCAGACUGGAGUGUGUGAGAGGAGAGUGGAAUUCCCGGUGGAGGGGUGAAAUCCGUAGAUAUCUGGAGGAACAUCAGUGGCGAAGGCGACUAUCUGGCACAUAACUGACGCUGAGGAGCGAAAGCGUGGGUAGCAAACAGGAUUAGAUACCCGAGUAGUC